ensembl:lncRNA
GGGGUUAGUAUCUUGCCCCAGGAUAUUUGGCAUGCAGACUGGGCUCAAACCACCAACCUUCCGGUUAGUAGGUGACCUGCUCUACCACCUGAGCUACAGCCACCCCACAGAGCAGUCAGUCACGAUAUUAAAACCAGCUGUUUAAUCCUGUGCAGGUCCCACUAGUACCGCCAAACAGCUCUGACCUGUCAGGACUCUCAACCUGGAGUUCUUUGGGACACGCGGGUUCUGGUGUGGGACUCUCACGAGUGCUCUAUUGACUACUGGAUACUGAGUGGGAGUGUUUCAGUGCAAGGUUAGCUCAUUGCACUUUGAGCAGCUUUUUGCAGUGUGGGGCGGUGCUCGUGGUCCAGGUUCUCAGUCAUCCUGGUCUUUAUUAGUCUUGAGGGCUUGAAAUGAAGAUAAAGGCA